GUCUUUUCAUUCGUUUUCAAUAAAAAGAAAUUCUGUCAGCCAAUUAGGUGCAAGGAUUUCAGUAACUUAUGAUAGUUUCCAAUGUAAAUCACAGACAAACUACUCUGUGAAAACACUUCCCAGAUCUACUGUAUACCCUUCCAUGAGAGACAAUCAGGCUGCUGCAGUGAAAAUCAAGAAUCUUAGCUGAAACCCAAGACUAACGUGAGAGCUAGGCAAGUCUUUUUCAAGUUCAACUAUGUUAUAAAUCAGAGUUAUGAUGAUGAGAUUGAGAUCACUGUGGGAGAAAUCAUGAAUGGGUGGAACCCAUCAGAGUUCAGCAGGCCAAUCUCUUCCUGAAAUUGGAUCUUGGAUGUCACCCCAACUAUCUUAGACUCUUGUCAUGUUUAUCAUUUUUCUUCAUUUACCAGCCGCAGAAUAUUCUUGCUUGGAUGCUUGUAGGGGGCUUGGCAGAUAAUGAGGAUAUUUUUCCUAAUUGUGCAUUUCAAAUCGCAUAUUUGCGUUGAAGCAAAAUGCAAUUUCCAAGUGCUCGUUUACAACUGACAAGGUCUAUUUUAUCAUUGGAAAUUGCGCUUAGCCCCUGGAUAUUUUUUCCAGGGUAGGGGAAUGAUCUUUACGUGAAGAUGUCAAUUGUUCAUCUUUUCUUUUUUUUCUGGGGGGGUAUUGAAAUAGUGAAGAUGUGGAGGAGAAGACGUUUUCCCAAAAGAAAAACUACGUCCUCAAAUUCCACAGUGCUGUCUUGGAUGUGUGGAGGAAAAAGGUAAAAAUCAUCCAACAGCAAAGUAAAAGAGCAACAUAAAACUGAACAAUAACAGGAGCAGUAAUUGUUUAUUUUCUUGAACUUCUGCAUCCCAACCCCUGGUUGGAUAAUUUGAUUGUCAAUUAAUUUUGUCAGUUCACCUGUGUUCAGAUUUUUUAGUUGGAACUGUUUAUUUGAGCUGCCAGGUAUUUCAAGGUUUAUACUGUAAUAGAAGAAGACUUCUUGAGAAAGUUGUUUAUAAUUAGGCCUGAAUGAUAAGAAUUGAGGUAGAAAGAUCUAUCUCAAUUCAAGGUUAAGGAUUAGAAGAAUUCUUGAACUCUCAUUUCGAUAUACCUAUCAUUCCUAUAUGACUUCUGAGUAAUCUGUUUUGCUGAUGUUAGCUUGGAUGCCAGUCUCCAAAAAGAAGAUGUGGAAUUAUUUCCUGUAAGUUCUUUCUUACACUCAUGUCUGAAUUCCCCCUAUUUCACUUUCCAUUCAAUUCACCAUACCAUCAGACCCCCCCCCCCAUUAAUUGCUUUUAUCACUAUUCAUUCCCUUCCUGUUUUUUAACAUAUCAAAGUGGAUCUCAACCCAUUUUUUUUUUCUUAUUUCUCUGUCAAUUUUUUAAUUUAACAUUUAUUACAUGUUUUGCGAGAAGUCUGUCUCUCAUGUUCUUGUUUAUCACCUGUCAUUCUAGUCAUAUGAAAUAUAAUUUGAACUCAAGGUAUCAGUGAUUGGACUGGCCAGUACAUCAAAACACUCGGUGUGUGAUGCUAGGUUAUAUUAUAGGUGGCGCAGUUUGCCAAUAAUCGUCAUGAAUUCUGUUUCUUUCAAAGAAAACAGGUUUUGGGAAGAUAGUCUUAACUUUUUUGUGCAUGAGGGCAUGAGUCUACAGAAUGGCAGAAUUUGAUACGGAUAAAGCGUAGGCUAUUGUACUAUUACAAACCUUAUCAUGAAUAUAUUCAAUGGGUUAAAUACAGUUGUUGUUUUUUACAAAGUCUCUAAUAUGCUUUUCACACUGUACUUUUUUCCUUAACCCUGGGAAAUUGGUAGGGCUAAGGGGCCUUAGCCCUACCAAUUUCCCGGGGUUAAGCUUAGCCCACUUCGUUUUCACACUACGUUUUAGCAAAGUGGGCUAGCACGGUAAAUAGUACGGUACUAUCUGGCCCUGCAAAAAAGCAGGGUUAGCCGGCUUAUUGUGGUGCUAGCACCACAAUUGCGGUGCUAAGAGAUGCAGUGUGAAACGAAACUGGGCUAAGGAAAAGUGGGGCUAAGCAAUAACCAAUCACAGAAGUCGAAAUUGCACGUUAAUCACGCUCUGUAUGGUAAAAUCAUCAAUAUUCAUGAGCUGUGGGAUAGUCCGGGGUUAAGGCGUUAACCCCGGCUAAGCAGAUAGUAUGGGGUUAAGAAAGACAGUGUGAAUCCAAAAGAAGAUAGUAUGGGGUUAAGGAUAGUCCGGGGUUAAGGAUAGUAUGGGGAUCAGAAAAUGCAAUGUGAAAAGCAUAUCUAUGUGUUAACAUUGGCUUGUUUAUUAGGGUUCUGGUAUCAUGCAUUUAAUUUUCUUGGUGGACCCUAAUAUAUUAUUACAUUUUAAUAUUUAGCAUGAUAUCAAUGCAUUCUGGGUUUCCUCUGAUGCUAAAACCCUUAAAAAUAAUAUUGAAUAAAAAAAGGAUAUUGAUCAGAAAGCCCUUCAAAGAACAAUGAAUAUGCAUAUGAUUUUUAUUAAUUAUUUUUUGGUGAUUUAGUUUUCAAAGAGUUAUUAAAAGGUCAGUGUAAUAGUUGUUCUCUGCACUCUAAUUUUGACAAAUGUCUUCUCAGCCGGGUUCUGAAGGAUACUGAACUCUGAUCUCCUCCUUACACAGUUGAUAUGAUUAUCAUAUUUGUUCUAUUCAACAUCAGACAAUGAUAAUAAUUUUAAAAAUGGAAAUUCAUCAAUCUUGUUUUGUUAUUUCAUGAUUGAUUUGAGAUAAUUCCCCUAUAGGUGUUUCCCACCAUUUACAAAUGGUGUUCUUCAUCCAUUCAAUGCCAGAUUGGUUUCCCCCUUAUUAUAAUCCCUUUCCUCUAUUCUGCUUGGUGGAACUCACCAGUGUGUUUCAUCUUACUCAGCUGACUGGACAUGACGGGACUAGACCGGUCUUCGUGACGCCAUCCCCCAUCAUUAACAGAACCGCUUCGAUGACGCACCUGAAAAGAACACAAAUUACAACCCAGCGAUAUCUGUAUUCCGCAAGUAAAGUAACCUGUAUGAAAGUGAAGUUUAAUGGCUCUAUCAGUGAAUGAGACAAAAUAAUCUUUUAUCUCUAUGGCAACCAACCAGAGAAGAUGAAAGAACAGCUGGAAGGAAUGUGAAAGUUUCCAACUUUGAGAUGGGUUGAAUAUAGCCAAGUAGUGCUAAAAUGAAUACUAAUACAAGGAUAAGUAGAAGUCCAUAACACCAAAAUAAUAUUUGUAUCCAUGUAUAUUAUAGUGAAGGAAGAUGAUAUUAUAUUCUUUGCGACAUUUGACAAUCUUUUAUACAUUUCACACCACAGAUGUUUCCAGAUUUUCAAAAUGCAAGUAUUUUUACAAAUGGUAGAUUUAAAAGUGCUUUGUAAGAUCAUGGACCUAGAGUAGUAGGUCCAUGGUAAUGUCUUUGAAAGGAUCAGCACUAUAGACCAUGCGCAUCGAGGGCCAAAGAGAAUGAACGAAUGCAACGACCAACUGGGUAGAUCUUUGUGCUUGUCUUUCACUGAAGUGGUUCAUCAAGAGUUCAUCCAUGCUCACAAACAAUAUCAAAAUUGCUUUUCAUCAAGAAUUGAUCAGAACGAUUAAACCCAGUAAGUAACAUCCAUCAAUAUCUAAUCAUUUAGUGUGUACGUUAUCACUCUCCUGAUCAUUUCAACUCUAUUCUCUGUAAAGGUGAAGUGAAUGUGUUCAUCUGAAAAUUCAUUGAUUAAUUUGAUCAAGUUCAGAUUAAAAAUUCAUUCAGGUUUUGUGUUCUUUCAAGGUGAGAGAGUAGAACCACCCCCUCCGUGCUGAUAACGAUCAGUAAACAUCAAGAUCAGUUAUGGUGAUAAAAGUUUGAUAACUAUUUACCAUUGUUUCUCAUAUAAUGAAAUACUACGUAUAAAUAAAAUGAAAUAUGGGGCAAACAGAAAUGGUUUACAAUUAAUUUCUUUGCAUUUCAAGUCUUUUGACAUUGUCAUUCAUGGUUCAAGCUUCAAAUUUAAAGAAUUAAACAAAUUAAACAAAAUGAAAUAUAAGGCAAACAGAAAUGGGUCACAAUUAAUUUCUUUACAUUUCAAGUCUUUUGACAUUGUCAUUUAUGGUUCAAGCUUCAAACUUAAAAAUGAUAUUAUAUAUUUUUCUCUAAACUCAGUAACAGGGGUAAUGCAGAGUUAUAGUACCAUGACCCAGGCCUUUCUUUUUCACUACUUGAAAAAUCAAUCACCCCUGCCCCCCCCCCCCCCCUGUUGCGCCAUCCUUGCAGUAAAUUGCUUAGCUCCAGCUAGAAGUCUAAAUUAUAAAUGAUAAAGUUUGUAAUUUUCUCCUUUUCCAUUCAUAUCAUGUAAUAUAUUUCUUUAUGAUAUUAUUGACAUUUAUGGGGAUUUUUUUUAUACUUCAUCAGUUAUUGCAAUUUAUCAAAAUUAUGCAUCUUGUUUCUAGUUCCUUGAUAUAACAAACUUGUAUUUUAUUAUUGAACUUCAUCUGUUCACUAUUCUCAAGACUUCUUUUUUUUUUACUUUAGUUAUUAAAAAGUUAUUCAAGUAUAGAUGAAGGUAUGUAUACUGAUUAUUCUUAAUUAAUUAAUUCAUUGACCAAGAAGGAAAGAAAGUCCAAUACAGUAUUAUUGUGCAUAUUUUUAGAGGAGAUUGGUUAAGAGGGUGCGUAAUUUCUGACUCUGCUGCCUUGAACUUGUCAACUCAACUAUACCAUUAAUAUUGUUAUUUAUUUUUGUAGCUCUUAAAAUCUGUUUUCUGUGUCAAAUUGGCAGGUGAUAAAACACUUCAAUAUCUCUUAACCGACAGGGAAAUUAAAGACCUUGACUGCAUUGAUUGAUAAUCAUAGUAGUAAUAUAUUAUUUUUGAUCCAGAAAAGUAAAUGUAUCUAUAGAUGUAUUUCAAAGUGUCAAUGUUGAACUUUAUAAAAAAAUAGUCAGAGAAAAAAGAUUUGAUUCUAGCAAUUAAAUUAUAGACCUAAUGUCCUUUCAAUUAUAUCAUCAUCAUCAAUAUUUCAUACACGCUUCCUGUAUGUUCUGCUUUAAUAAAGAUGUAUUUGUAAAAUGCUUAAUUUUUGACACAUAUAUUAAUUACAAUCAUAAAUAUAUAUUUGUAUCAAAUUUUCUGGAGGAAUCAGUGAUUAUUUGAUGAUAUAUGUCAAUUGGGUAACUAUUUGAUUGCCCUUUAAACCAUCUAAUAAACUGUGGGUGUAGCCCUAUGCAAUCAACCUUGAUGGGAAUACUUGAUUGAUCAUCAGUAAACUGAUCUUGAUAUGAUAUGUUCUGCAUUCUUAAGAAGCUAUACAAGUUAAAAGGAAUGUAUGUAUUAUCAAAAAUAAAAAAGCUUCAUGUGCUUAAUUAGAUAGU